rnacentral:misc_RNA from 1 species
GAAUAUUGUCAAAGUUAAUUGAACUAGAUUCCACUGGAAAUGAGCAAAGAUGACACAUCAAGCAUAUAUAUUAAUCUUGAACUUGCCAGUUAUCAACAAUAAGAAUCAAUAUGAACAAAAGUUUAUGAGUGUAAGAUAUGGUACUUGAGCCUAACUCAACCCCAAAAAGGUAGCACAUGAGGGAGGAUUGCCCAAGUCCAUAUAAGCAAACCACCAGCCCAUUUCCAUGGGACUCUAGCCCACUCUAACAAUAAGUAAGGAAAUAUGAACAAUGGCUAAAAACAAGUGAAAAUGAUAACCUCAUGUAAUUUGAAGUUCACUUGCACUCUGUAUAUUGAGUACAACAAGCAUCUUAAUUCUUCAAAGAAUCGCACUUCAUUUGUGCACUAGUGAAUAGUCAAAACUGAAGCGACAAAAAGACGAUACACG